UCAUAGCGAGAAAAGAAACUACAAGGAUUCCCCUAGUAACUGCGAGUGAAGCGGGAAAAGCUCAAAUUUAAAAUCUGGCAGUCCUUUGGCUGUCCGAGUUGUAAUCUAGAGAAGUAUUAUCCGCGCUGGACCGUGUACAAGUCUCCUGGAAUGGGGCGUCAUAGAGGGUGAGAAUCCCGUCUUUGACACGGACUGCCAGGGCUUUGUGAUAUGCUCUCAAAGAGUCGAGUUGUUUGGGAAUGCAGCUCAAAAUGGGUGGUAAAUUCCAUCUAAAGCUAAAUAUUGGCGAGAGACCGAUAGCGAACAAGUACCGUGAGGGAAAGAUGAAAAGAACUUUGGAAAGAGAGUUAAACAGUACGUGAAAUUGCUGAAAGGGAAACGCUUGAAGUCAGUCGCGUUGGCCAGGGAUCAACCUUGCUUUUUUGCUUGGCUUACUUUCUGGUUGAUGGGUCAGCAUCAAUUUUGACUGGUGGAAAAAGUUCAAGGGAAUGUGGCAUCUUCGGAUGUGUUAUAGCCUUUGUUCACAUACAUUGGUUGGGAUUGAGGAACUCAGCACGCCGCAAGGCCGGGUUUUUAACCACGUACGUGCUUAGGAUGCUGGCAUAAUGGCUUUAAUCGACCCGUCUUGAAACACGGACCAAGGAGUCUAACAUGCCUGCGAGUAUUUGGGUGAAAAACCCGAGUGCRUAAUGAAAGUGAAAGUUGAGAUCCCUGUCGUGGGGAGCAUUGACGCCYGGAUCUGACCUUUUGUGACGAUUCUGCGGUAGAGCAUGUAUGUUGGGACCCGAAAGAUGGUGAACUAUGCCUGAAUAGGGUGAAGCCAGAGGAAACUCUGGUGGAGGCUCGUAGCGAUUCUGACGUGCAAAUCGAUCGUCAAAUUUGGGUAUAGGGGCGAAAGACUAAUCGAACCAUCUA
rnacentral:rRNA from 1 species